rnacentral:tRNA from 1 species
GGUUCGGCAUGGUCGACGAGGGCGCCCUUGGCCUUGUCGAGGCCGAGGCCGUCGGCGAUGUCCUUCGUCACCGGCUGGACCU